rnacentral:rRNA from 1 species
CAGCUCGUGUCGUGAGAUGUUGGGUUAAGUCCCGCAACGAGCGCAACCCCUACGUUUAGUUGCUAACAGGUGAAGCUGAGCACUCUAGACGAACUGCCGUUGACAAAACGGAGGAAGUGGGAUGACGUCAAAUCAUCAUGCCCCUUAUGUUCUGGGCUACACACGUGCUACAAUGGCCGGUACAGACGGACGCAAAGCCGCGAGGUGGAGCAAAUCCUAAAAAGCCGGUCUCAGUUCGGAUUGCAGGCUGCAAUUCGCCUGCAUGAAGUCGGAAUCGCUAGUAAUCGCAGGUCAGCAUACUGCGGUGAAUACGUUCCCGGGCCUU